rnacentral:misc_RNA from 1 species
AACCUUAUGGACCUGCGGGCGUAUACCUGCGGAGGGAUCAUUAACCUUUCAAAUCAGGGUGCGGCGCGGCCCCCGAGGAGCGGAAACAAUCCUUGGGAGGUAUGCGGGGGCUUCGAGCCCCCCAUUUACGCACGCACGACUGCCAUCCUUACUUUACGAGCACCUUCUGUUCUCCCUCGGCGGGGCAACCUGCCGUUGGAACCGAAUAAACUCUUUUUGCAUCUAGCAUUACCCGUUCCG